CCCGCGUGCACCCAGAUGAAGAAACUGAGGUCCAGAGAAGUUAAACGACCUUCCUAAGAUUACACAGCUUAGUAAGUGGCAGAACCACAGCUGGAAGCCAGGUCCUUCCUCACGCAAGUCCUGGCUCAUUCAUUCCUCUUCCAAAGACUUGCUGAGCACCUUCUAGGUGCCAGAUGCGGUGCUGGCUCCUGGGGACAUGGGAGUGAACAGGCCAGGCGUGGCCCUGAACCAUCAAAUAGACAACCACAGAAAUAACAACAACAAAGACAAAACCGGGCCCUUCCACACAGUAGCUGGAACACAAAGGAAGAUCAGCCAAGCCUCAACAUAAUCUCAUAAAAAUUCUUCAAAUAUCCCAUUGUUAUGGAUUCAUACAUCAGGAAAGCAGGUAAAAUAUUUCACCUUGAUGCUCACCUAGAUGGUCAGACUCUUUGAGGAAGACAUCAAACUUUUCCCCAGAAAGAAAAAAUAAAUAACUUUUUAGACUAUACAAAAGGGUCAAUGUCAUGUUACAUAAGAUGCUCAAACUCCUGUCUUGAUGUUAAGUCCACUGGUCUUACCACAGCUUCUGAAC
rnacentral:lncRNA from 10 species